rnacentral:rRNA from 1 species
AUUGAACGCUGGCGGAAUGCUUUACACAUGCAAGUCGAGCGGCAGCACGUGGGCAACCCUGGUGGCGAGCGGCGAACGGGUGAGUAAUACAUCGGAACAUGCCCAGUCGUGGGGGAUAACACUUCGAAAGAAGUGCUAAUACCGCAUACGUCCUGAGGGAGAAAGCGGGGGAUCUUCGGACCUCGCGCGAUUGGAGUGGCCGACGUCAGAUUAGCUAGUUGGUGGGGUAAAGGCCUACCAAGGCAACGAUCUGUAGCUGGUCUGAGAGGAGGAGGAGCCACACUGGGAGUGAGACACGGCCCAGACUCCUACGGGAGGCAGCAGUGGGGAAUUGUGGACAAUGGGGGGAACCCUGAUCUAGCCAUUCCGCGUGAGUGAAGAAGGCCUUCGGGUUGUAAAGCUCUUUCGGCAGGAACGAAACGGCGAGCUCUAACAUAGCUUGCUAAUGACGGUACCUGAAGAAGAAGCACCGGCUAACUACGUGCCAGCCGCCGCCGUAACAC